rnacentral:rRNA from 1 species
UCCCGCGACGUGCGCAACCCUUUCCCUCAUGUGCCAGCGGGUUGAGCCGGGAACUUUAAGGAUACUGCGAGUGACAAACUGGAGGAAGGCGGGGGCGACGUCAAGUCAUCAUGGCCCUUACGACCAGGGCUACACACGUGCUACAAUGGCGCAUACAAAGAGAAGCGACCUCGCGAGAGCAAGCGGACCUCAUAAAGUGCGUCGUAGUCCGGAUUGGAGUCUGCAACUCGACUCCAUGAAGUCGGAAU